CCAAUUGGUGACCAGGGAAACUAAACUAUGUACAUCUAGUUGCCGGGAACGAAGUUGGUGGCGUAUGCCCAUGCGUUGUUGGCAACGGGGUCUGCCAAGUGGUCGUUCAAGUUCUCCAAGGGGCCCUUGCCAGUCACAAUUGCCUGCACGAAGAAUCCGAACAUCGAGAACAUCGCAAGUCGGCCGUUCUUGAUUUCCUUCACCUUCAACUCAGCGAAGGUGUCGGGGUCGUCAGCCAAACCCAAGGGGUCGAAAGAGCCUCCGGGGUAGAUGGGGUCGGUCACAUCGCCCAAUGGUCCUCCGGCAACACGGUACCCCUCCACGGCUCCCAUCAGGAUCACCUGGCAGGCCCAGAUGGCCAAAAUGCUCUGAGCGUGCACAAGGCUAGGGUUGCCUAAGUAGUCCAAACCUCCCUCGCUGAAGAUCUGGGCUCCGGCCUUGAACCACACGGCCUCGCCGAACUUCACACCGCUCUUGGCCAGCAGCUCAGGGGUCAGGCACCCCAGAGCUCCGAGCAUGGCCCAGCGGGCGUGGAUGACCUCCAACUCCCUGUUGCGGGCGAAGGUCUCGGGGUCCGACGAGAGUCCGGCGGUGUCCCAGCCGUAGUCUCCAGCGAACUCACCGUUCAGGUACGAGGGGGUCUCACCGGAGAAAGGGCCCAAAAACUUGGGUCUGUCAGCGCCAUACCUGAUUCACAAGCCGAACUGUAAGUCACUCAUAACCGAACAUCCGCCUAUGCUAUUUCCUCAGAAACGUGUUUCUUUUAACAUCGGUCAAUUCACUGCACCCCGUCGAGGGUCACAUUGACAUCCUACAACCUCGCGAACGACUACAGCACUACUCACAAUUACACUAAUGCCAACACGUCCGCAGCAGCAGAGAAUCAUUCCAUCGAAGCGGACCUCACGAACCCAAUCCGCAGCUCACAAGAUCACCCAGCCGCCAGCAACAGUCAUUUCUACAGCCUAAACGAGGCACGGCCAAUGCACCCAUGACCAAUCCGCAACACAGGAGAAAUGAGGCAAUCAGCACAAGACGCGAGAGUGAGGGGGGGCAAUGCAAACAUACCAGAUGCUGUCGCUGCCAGAAGACUUGCUGACGGUCUUGCGCAUGGUGACGCGAGCCUGGCUGGUGCCCACCUUGCGGACGAGCUCAUUGGCGGGCUGAAGCAAGGCCUGGCCGGCCAGGGCAGUAGACGCGCAUGCGGUAGCGGCAGCCAUAGCGACAGGUAGCGGGGGGCGACGGGGACGAAGGCACAGAGUGAGGUGAAGUCACAGCGCGCGAUGGUGCAUUGAGAGCACUGGCCUGCGUCCCUUAUAGAGAGAGCGAGUGGGUGGGCGACGCCAGCGCGGGGGGGGGGCUGCAAUGGAGGAGGGGAGAGGGAGGGAGGGAGCGCAAUCGCAAUUGGAUAAGGUG
rnacentral:lncRNA from 1 species